UACGUAGGGGGCAAGGCGUUGUCCGGAAUCAUUGGGCGUAAAGAGCGUGUAGGCGGCCCGAUAAGUCCGCUGUGAAAGUCCAGGGCUCAACCCUGGGAUGCCGGUGGAUACUGUCGGGCUCGAGUCCGGAAGAGGAGUGUGGAAUUCCUGGUGUAGCGGUGAAAUGCGCAGAUAUCAGGAGGAACACCAAUGGCGAAGGCAGCACUCUGGGACGUGACUGACGCUGAGACGCGAAAGCGUGGGUAGCAAACAGG
rnacentral:rRNA from 1 species